CAGUAGCCGCGGUAAUACGUAGGGGGCAAGCGUUAUCCGGAAUUACUGGGUGUAAAGGGAGCGUAGACGGUUAAACAAGUCUGAAGUGAAAUGCCGGGGCUCAACCCCGGAGCUGCUUUGGGAACUGUAGAACUGGAGUGUCGGAGGGGUAAGCGGAAUUCCCAGUGUAGCGGUGAAAUGCGUAGAUAUUGUGAGGAACACCGGCGGCGAAGGCGGCUUACUGGACGACAACUGACGUUGAGGCUCGAAGGCGUGGGUAGCAAACAGGAUUAGAUACCCGCGUAGUCCCUGUCUCUUAUAC
rnacentral:rRNA from 1 species